ACAUUAAAAUUAAACAUAUAUCUGCCUUGGCUUCAAUAUAAAAAAAUGAAGAUGAUGGGUUUGAUCUUGAUAUCUUUAUACUUAGUUCUGAGCCUUCCUGAAGCUGACAAUUGCUACUCGGGGAAGGAUUUGACCACCGAUCUGGGCAAAGACAAAUAGCGUUGUCCACUGUGAUGCUGGCAGCCUGGUCGCAAGUGACCCCGACCCGUGGCUCCCAGCCACGUCCCACGAGUGACCAGGCGCCGACAGCGUGGAUGCAAUCCCCUUAGAUGUCUGUCUCCGCCAGGCACUCUGAUGACUUCAGAAGUCCCCACUGUCCUAUGUCCAGUUCCCAGCCACCCCCCACUGUCCCUAGACAAAGGGAGACCCAGGAGGUGGGGUCCCUGCUCUGAAACACAAGUUAUAAGGUCCCCCUGGAAUGGAGAGACUGGGUGGGGGCGCUGGUUGUGUGUCCCCGUCUGCUGACUCUCCCAGCCUCCACCUGAUGAUGCUGAGGCGUCUGCCAGACUCCUCCCUCAGCAAUGUGAGGGUGACUUUCCCACUGAGGUGGGGUUGCCUUCCCAGUGGGCUGAAAUGGCUUAUUGACCAAAGAUUUUGCCCAGACCCCCGACUCUGGAGCUGUGGUCAUCCUGGGUGACUUUUCUUGGGAUCCUUGGGGGUCAAGUGGAGCCGUAUUUUAUAGUCACUAGAUCUUUAGGGUCCCCAAGUGGGGUGGACUCGGCACUUGUCCCUGCAGUCCAAAGAUGCCUAAUCCUCACCUGACGUGUCUGCAGCCCCAUCCUGGUUGCUCCACCGCGGGGCUGUGUUCCUGGAGCCCGUCGAUGUCCGGAGGCCAUUCUGCAUGGGCAUUAGACCAUCGGGCCGCAGGUCCUAUGGACGCUGCAUCGCGUUCUGCAUCUCACAGUGGUUUCAUCGGGUGUCACGCCAAGGGCGUGCUAGGGAAAGGGAGAAGAAUCAGGGGGAAGGGAGGCUACAGAAAAAAUGACCAAGAAGUAACCAAAGAAGGAGAGGUGGACACAAUAGUACUUUAACCACGUGUCAGAGGGCACAAUGUCAACGUGGCCUUGAGUUUUGGCUCCUUCCCUGAGUUGCUGGACCAAAGCCACCACCUGUCCCCUCACCUGGCUUUCCCCAUCAGCAAAUUCAGCCCGAGCUCCCAGCCCACCCACAGGGUGAUCAUCACAAACCAUGGGUGCGGUUCUGAUGUCAUCAUUCCAUCACUCUGUCCCUCCCUCACAAGCUGGCGGAGGAGCCUCGAUGCCCCGGGGACAUUUGCCCGGAUGGAAGGGUCAGGGUGGCUUCCGUGUGCGCAGGGGCAAAGCCCACAGCCGUCCAGCUGCUGCACAUCUCACGAGCCGUGGGACCCUUUCCCCGCAGCGUCUCUAUCUGUGCAGGGGGCAGGUAUCUCCUAGGGCCGCUGUGGGAGCCAGACGGGGCUGCGUGGACGGGGCCCGCACGGCGCCUGGCGCACACUCAGCUCUGUCCACGGCGGCUGCUCUGCUCGGGGCCCACGCGGGCGGGAGGCCUCGCUGGCUGUUUCCAUUUGCUGUUUCCUGACGCUAGCCUUCCUAGAAAAGUCCUCCUUUAGAGAGAAAGAUCUGUCGUCAAGCAGAAACGAGUGGGGUAGAAAACAGCAGUGUUUCCGGAGCCCUCUCCCGCAAACGUCUACAUCCUUGCAAAUAGCACUUGGCCACCAAGGGCGGGCCUCCUGGCGCUGUCCCGACAUCCGGGACAAGGCUAGAGAGACCUGAUUAGAUCCAAAGGGGUGGGGGAAGACAGGGACAUGGUGUCCCCGGCAGGGGAUUUCAGCCCCUCCCCCAGGUGCCAUGGGAGCAGAGUAGGGCACAGGGACUCUGCCAGGGAGGGUGCUGGGGGGCUUCUGAGAGGAGGUGAUGCUCGAUUUGGGCUCUGAAGUAUGGGCAUGAUUUUUCCAGGUGGUAGGAGCAGGUGCUCCUGGCAGAAGGAUCUGCAUCAGCAAAUGCCUAGAAGCCACGUGGGUGUGGCACUGAGUGGCUGCAACAUGGCAAGUCAGCUGUGAGCACCUGUUUCCCUUUCAGGUCCCAGACGUAUUUGGGCCCCGAGGUGUGGUGACUGCACAGACUCAUAACCGGGUCCUCACAGCUAAGAACCACUGGACGUGCUUCAGCUCGGUCAGAGGAAGAUCCCUGGCAGGACGACAGGACCCCGACUUGGCUUGGGAGCGAGCUGGAGUGAGGGGUGAAGCAACACCUCCUUCUAGCGGGGACGCAGACUCGAGCUGUUGCGAAAACUCUCAGAUCCCACUGCUGGCACCAUGUCCUCAGAAGCCAGUGAGCUCUGCCCAGAGAGCAAAAUCCUUCUUGAGGAUGUCAUUGAGUCUUUUCAGAGCACAGUGAGCUUCGAGGAACUGCACUUCCUGCUGACUGACCAUGAAGCCUGGGAGAGAUUUGUGGCUCAGGCCAUGUUGUCCAGGGAAGAGGCAGAUGUCCUACGUGAAGAUCUGAAGGAGCUGGAAAGAGCCAUGUAUACGGAGGCCGAAGACCAGCUGUUUAGGGAGAGGCUUUUGAGUGGUAGGAGCAGGUGCUCCUGGCAGAAGGAUCUGCAUCAGCAAAUGCCUAGAAGCCACGUGGGUGUGGCACUGAGCGGCUGCAACAUGGCAAGUCAGCUGUGAGCACCUGUUUCCCUUUCAGGUCCCAGACGUAUUUGGGCCCCGAGGUGUGGUGACUGCACAGACUCAUAACCGGGUCCUCACAGCUAAGAACCACUGGACGUGCUUCAGCUCGGUCAGAGGAAGAUCCCUGGAUGAGAGGGAACCUGAAGCUCCAGCCCCAGGUCCCAGGGCUUCCCCCCUCUCCCUGUGCCCCAAAACAGUGGAGAAGGAUGGAAGCACUGCCCAGCCCGGGUUCCAGACUGCCUGCGACCUGAGCAGGCCACCCCAGAAGGAAGGCUGAUGUUGGUGUGCUCAUCCCUUUGGGGAAUUGGGAGGAUGCAGAGCAGGGGAGGAGGGCAGGCCCUGCCUGCGCCCACCAUGGACCGUGACUCUGGGUGAGUCCCUAUGCUGGGGAUUCUUUGUUCACAUAUCUUAAGAACUUGCUUUCAGUCUUUUUAUGUUGAUUCAUAGGAUUUGUCGUGUUCUGUGUAACUCAGCUUUUGUCUGCUCUAAGUUUGGAGGGUGCUGCCUCCUGGCCUCUGGCUGUAGUCUGACUCUGUUCAUGGUGUCCUUUACAAUUUUUAUUUUUAUGUACUUAUUUAAGAGUUUAUUUAUUUAUUUGAGAGAGAUAGAGAGGAGGAGCAGGGGGAGAGGGAGAAGCAGACUCCCUGCUGAGCAAGGACCCGGUGCCGGACUCGAUCCCAGGACCCCAAAUCAUGACCUGAGCCGAAGGCAGCCGCUUUACAAGUGAGCCACCCAGGCGCCCUCCGCUACAAUUUUUAAUGUUUAAGAGGUCAGAUAACUGAACUUUCCUUUUAUGGCCUCUGGGAUUUGCAUCUUGCUUAAAAGAUUUCUCCAACUCAAAAUUACUAUUUAAAAAAAUUUUUUUUCCAGGAUAUUUGCGGCUUUUUCUUUCUAGCUUACAUUUAGGUCCUGUUGGGAGUUAUUGAUUAAUUGAUUGAUUUUGUACAAGCCUUUUGGUUUUUCCUUCUCCUCCUCCCCCCUUCCUCCUCCUAUUCUUCUUUUUCUGCUUCUGCUUCUCCUCUGUUUCCCCUUCUCUUUCCCUCCUCCUCCUCCUUCUUCUUUCUCCUCUAUCUCUCUUCCUUCUCAAGACAUCUCUAACUGGUGCUGGCUACAAUCCAUAGAAACCCGGCUUUUCUUAAGACUUCAAAGAAGCCUGCAGUGCACUAAGGAAAUGACCCCCACCCUUCUCCCCCAAAGUUCCUGGCAGCAGUUAGCAAAAAAAGUGAGGUGAGGGUGGAGGGAGCUGGGCCUGACAUCCACACCUGGCCUGGCCACCCUGGGGGAGGGGAGGCUUUGGAAAGUCCUGCUAAGGCUCAGGUACCAGGACCAUGUUUUCCUGCAAUUUCCUCUUCCUCUUUCUCCUCAUAUAAAAAAUAUUAUGGCUGGAGUACAGAGACAUGAGGAAAUACAUGGAAACUCCCAGAAAUCUGAUAGAAUUGUCCAAAGCACAUUAAAUCAGGAGAGUAAUUCAUGUGAAAUCUGAGGCAUAGUCUUAUUUGUUCUCGGCCAGCAUGAGCUUUUCAUCAAGACAGACAAGAAAACAAGUGGAAUUGCUCAUCGGUGAGUGAAGCUGGGGAGUGCUGUGCUGCCAGCCCUCGGAUCUGAGCCCGGCUGUGGGCUGGAGAGCAGGGGCAGCGGGUACCCCGGGUACCCUGGGAGGCCCUGGAACAAGAGGUGUGGGAGGGAAUAGACAGGCCCCCGCCAGGGCUCAGAGUCCAACAGAGGAGAACACACAGAGGACUGCAGUCAGGACAGUGCACAUUCAAGGGGAGCCCAGAGAGUUAGUGGGGGCAGGCUGCAGGGGAGGCAGCGGUUGAGCUGGGCCUCUAAGCACAGGUAAACUUUUACAAGGUGAGGAAGGUGGGGAAAGGCAUUCCAGGGGGACGGAGCAGCCAAGCAAAGGGCUGGAGGCUGAGGUGUGAUCAGAAGCAAGGAGGGGCGCUGGGCUGGCUUAGUAGGUAGAGCCUUUGACUCUGGAUCUCAGGGCCCUGAGUGUGUUCAAGCUCCACGUCGGGCAUGGAGCCUAUAAAAUAAACAUUAAAAAAGAAAAAAGAAAAGAAGCAGGGAAGUGAGGGGUGCUUGAGGAUGACUGGACCAAGGCAACAUGGAGGCCGGGCGGGAGCAGCGAGGAAGACAGGAGCGGGAGCGUUAGGGAGCCCGGGGUGGACGCCAUGCUGAGUGUGAGCCUGAUCCUGUCUUAGGCUCCCCUUCCCCUGCCCAAGGAGGAUGUCUGCAGGUGCUUGCAGGGAGAUGCUUUGGUGAGAAUCUGUGCCCUGCUGCCUCUGGAGAGCUUAGACAGAGCCGGUGGGGAUGGGAGGGCUCCGUGUCCUGUGGGGGCCAUGCAGGUGGGCAGGGGCGGGCUUCUUCCCUCCUUCUCCUCCUGCCAGCCUUGCUGGGAGCUGACCCAUCUGCAGGCUAGCCAGGGACAGCCUGGGUCCUAAUCAGGCAGGAGGGAGCAUUGUCCAGCAUCAAAACCCAGCUGAGGUCCAACACGAGGGUCAGGGCCGGGCCAAGAAUAGCAGAGGACAGGAAGGAUGGGACCGAGAGUGCAGACGCAUUUGCAAAGGUUUGGUGUCAUCCAGGGUCCGGCUCUUUCUGCCCGCUCACUCGUCCUGCUCUCUGCGUUUGCUCUUGGUCCGUGUGCUUCAGGGUGUCAUUUGGCUCCUCGCCCGUCCCCCGGGUCAUGUGACGUUCCAAGCAGAAGAAAGAGAAAGGGGCCAGCCAACUCUCCUCUCCCCACUGUGCCUUAUAGCAGGAAGGGACCCCUAAACUGAUUUCCCUUGUGUCUUGUUGGCCAAGACUGGGUUGUACAGUCACCCCUCAUUGCAAAGGCGCCCAGAAAACAUAUUCCUGAAUCCAGGUCCUAAGAUGAGAGGCCGCAGGGGGAGGGUGCUGCAAGUGGACUUGGAGGAGGUUGAAGUUGCAUGGGAACUGGUGGGCAGGAAUGUAGCAAAGGUCAUGAGAGCCAUUGUGUUGUUAAGACCAAGGCUAAGAGUAAAGAUCAGCAGAUGGACAUGGAUGGCUAAAAUGAACAAGUCAGGAAAGGACAGAUGUUGGUGAAGAUAACAGAGAAAGGGGGACCCUCUUACACUGCUGGUGGGAAUGCAAGCUGGUGCAACCACUCCAGAAAACAGUAUGGAGGUUCCUCAAAAGGUUGAAAAUAGAGCUAACCUACGACCCAGCAACUGCACUACUAGGGAUUUACCCCAAAGAUACAGAUGAAGUGAUCCGAAGGGGCAUCUGCACCUCCAUGUUUAUAGUAGCAAUUAUCAUAUGAUCUCACUCAUAUGUGGAAUUUAAGAAACAAAACAGAGGAUCAUAGGGGAAGAGAGGGAAAAAUAAAACAAGACAAAAUCAGAGAGGGAGACAAACCAUAAGAAACUCUCUUAAUCAUAGGAAACAAACUGAGGGUUUCUGGGGGGCAGGGGAUGGGGUAACUGGGUGAUGGACAUUAAGGAGGCACUUGAUGUAAUGAGCACUGGGUGUUAUAUAAGGCUGAUGAAUCACUGACCUCUACCUCUGAAUAAUGAUACAUUAUAUGUCAAUUAAUCGAAUUUAAGUUAAAAGAAAGAAAAAAUGGGCACCUGGGUGGCUCAGUUGGUUAAGCAUCUGCCUUCGGCUCAGGUCAUGAUCUCAGGGUCCUGGGAUCAAGCCCCGUGUCAGGCUCUCUGCUCAGUGGGGAGUCUGCUUCUCCCUCUGCCUCUGCCCUCCCCCGGCUUGUGCUCUCUCUCUCUCUGUCAAAUAAAUAAAUAAAAUCUUGAAAAGAAAAGAAAAAGAAAUAAUGGCCAUUCUCUUCUGGCCAAGGGACGGAGCGUUUGGUGUUUUGUGGGUGGCGCAGAGACCUUGCUUUUGUGGUUAGAGGAAAACUAUGAAGUGGCCUUGCCCUGCUCCCUUUGUCAUGGUCUCAGAGUAACCUUGUCUGAGGGUGGUAUUCAGUGACAUUAUUUAUGUCCAACAGAGAAGAGCACCAGCUGGUGUGAGUGCCAGGCUGGCCUGCCAGUGUCUGGGCCUCUUCUUUUUUCUUUCUCUCCCUUAUAAACAGUCAUAUAAAGAAACAGAAGGAAAAAUGCCCAUAUGUAUUAAGACUCUCCUUCUUGGGGCGCCUGGGCGGCUCUGCCUUUGGCUCAGGUCAUGCUCCAGGGGUCCUGGGAUCGAGCCCCACAUUGGGCUCCCUGCUCAGUGGGGAGCCUGUUUUUCCCUCUCCUUCUCCCUCAUUCAUGCUCUCUCUCUCUCUUUUUAACUCUCUCAAAUAAAUAAAUAAAAUCUUUAUUAAAAAAGACUCCCCUUAUUAGGAUUAAUUAACAAACAAUCCCCAUUACACUAACUCUUUUUUGCAUUACAACUUUUUAUCUUUUGUAUAUACUUUGUCUCAGCUCUUCUCCUUUGAAAAUUAUUAGGAACUCACGGCCUUUCACAGACUCAGCCUGACCCAAUUAAACAUGAUCUUAAUAAUCCUUAUCAAUUAUCAUUAUUAUUCUAUGUAAUUUGGUAGGAUUACCAGUGGGUGCCCUAUUGAGCCCUGCUCUGAACAUGCCUGAAGCAUCCUUUCCUUCUGGAAGAGGAGAUAUUGAAGGCCCGUGGAAUUCAGUCUCCCUCCAAGGAGUCUUGCUACCUUUGAGUGAAGAAAAACCCAUGGGUGCCUAUAAGAGGAAAAGCAAGAGAUAUUCUAUACACGUUUCUUUACACAGAAGAGGAAAAGCGUAUGUUUUCUUUGCCGACCGCUGCUCCCACCUUUGAUGCCUGUCCUCUGGCUUUGUCUCUUCACAGGCUAUUAAGAGUCGAGAUUGCCCCAUGAUGUUUAUCCUAGCAAAACAGGCUCUUAUGGUGAGAGUGAACUUGAACCUCUCUAUUCCAGCACCACUCCCAUCCACUUCCCCUUGGAGAUAAACCAGAAUAAAGACUAGCAGCUUUGGAGUCAGCCCUGGAUUUUUACGUCUCUCACUAUCUCUGAGAUCUCGGGUAAUUGGUUCUCCUCUCUGAGCCUUGAUUUCUUCAUUUAUAAAAUGUGGAGUGGAUGUCAGAAUUAAGUUCAAAACUGCUUGUAAAGACCUUUGUCCACGAAGCCUUCAACAGCUGCUAUUCUCCACAGCCAUUGGACAGAAAUGGGAUUUGCUUUCCUUCCUGCGUCCUUUCCAAGUUACUGUAAUACUUGCCACUCCCAGCUCCCUCUGUUUCAAGAGAAAGGAUGUGAAGUCAAGCAGAGAUAAGCUGAGGUGGAAAAUCCAGGUUUCUGAAAACAGGCUCCCACGGCCUUCUGUGUCCAUCCAAACAUCGUGGCCACCAACUCAUGCUUUUUUUUUUUUUUUUUUUAAGAUUUUAUUUAUUUAUUUGACAGAGAGAGAGAUCACAAGUAGGCAGAGUAUCAGGCAGAGGGAGAGGGAGAAGCAGGCUCCCUGCUGAACAGCGAGCCUGAUGUGGGGCUUGAUCCCAGGACUCCGGGAUCGUGACCUGAGCUGAAGGCAGACACUUAACCGACUGAGCCACCCAGGCACCCCCAACUCAUGCUUUUUAAUUUCCACUUCUUUUUAAAAACUGUUCACCUCUGACUACUCGAGUCUAGGCCUUGCCUAGGACACUGAGGACAUGGAUAUAUUAGGGAAAACCACAGUCUAGUCCACCAGAGUCUAGCAGAAGGAGACAGACAAGGAAGGAGGCAAGAGGCUAUAUUUAAGCACCCACAGGUAUCAUGGAAGCAAGGAGCUGGUGACAGUCAACUCUGCCACAGAGGAUUCUGGAGAGUUCCUCCAAGGAGGUUAGGCUUUGGAGGAUGACCUAGAUCUUUCCAGGUGAUGGAAUCAAGUGUCCUGUUAGAAGCAAUGUCAUGAACUAACACCUGGAGGCAUUUAGCACAACAAUCAGGACAGGUGUUUCUGUCAUUGUGUGUUGUAAGAUCCUGAACCACAACUAAGAGGGCUUAUGAAAAAGCUAGGUUGAGAAAGACCCCUCAAAACCUGUGGGACUUUGUAACUGGAACACUAGCCCAAACCAUAAUGAUCCUGAUGAAAAUCCCUCCCCAGUAAAACCUCCACCAUCAUGGGCACCUGUCAUCACAGCCGGUCAAUGCUUGGCAACCUCAAGCCCUGUGGUUUCUUUCUUUCUUUUUUUUUUUUUAAGAUUUAUUUGAGAGAGAGAGACACAGCGAGAAAGGGAACACAAGCAGGGGGAGUGGGAGAGGGAGAAGCAGGCUCCCCACUGAGCAGGGAGCCCGAUGCAGGGCUCGAUCCCAGGACUCUGGGAUCAUGACCUGAGCCGAAGGCAGACGCUUUACGACUGAGCCACCCAGGCGCCCCAAGCCCUGUGGUUUCUGAUCCUUCCUUCAAGAGGUAAGUCCUGUGGAGCUUUUGCUAUUAAUAGAGACUAUUUUCAUCAAAAUGAAAAUCAGAUCUGGGGCACCUGGGUGGCUCAGUCAUUUGAGCGUCUGACUCUUGCUAUCACCUCAGGUCAUGAUCUCAGGGUCAUGAGAUCGAGCCCUGCAUCUGACUCCAUGCUGAGUGUGGAACCUGCUUAAGAUUCUCUCUCUCCUUCUGCCUCUGCCCCUCCCCCCAGCUUGCGUGCGUGCUCUCGCCCUCUCUCUUUCUCUCUAAAAGAAAGAAAGAAAAUCAGAUCCAGGUGUAGCCUUCUUGAUUAACCCAUCAUUGCAACACGGUGGGAAAUGACUUCACAGCUUCCUCCUCAGCCUUAUGUCGUUAACCCCUUAAGGGUUAAUGUCAUGGAAAUCUCAAAGGUUCUUGGAGGUGCUAAACCAGCCCUGGCCCCCGCACAGAGUGGGGGCACCUGGAAGCGGUUUGGGUCUGGGGGCGAUGGGAGAAGAAAAAGGUGGUCCUGUGUGUCCUGCGGAUUGUCAGCAUUUGCUAAGUCUUUCUGUUGGAUUGUGGGAAAACUUGCCCCAUAUUUGUUUCAAAACGGUAAUGUGCUGGAGGAAGGUGCCUUAUACUGACAUCGUUCUACAGAGGUACUUGAGGAAAAACAAAAGCAACGACAGCAGAAGUCACGUACUGUACUCGCUGCGCCCCCCGUCCUCCAGGCCACACGCUCAGGGCCGGCAUGCCCUGGGUGUGUGGCUGCAGCAGGGGGGACCAGGAGAUGCACACGGAGUGGAGAAGUAACCCAGGCCACCAGCCAGUUAGUCCCGCGGCCCCUGUGACCGGAGGAGGCCCCAGCAGGUCUGGACGUGGGCCUCCUCUGAGUUGGCCAGCCGAGAGCUGGGGCUGAGGCUGAGGGUGGUGCCCGGCCACCUUACUUCCGUGUGAUCUGUUUCCUUUUCAGGUAUAUCUUGGAUACUAGUGGGAGGGUGUGGUUAUGACUCUGGAAUCUACGGGUGUGAUAACAGCCAGGCCUCCCUGGUCAGCGAUCCUGUGGGCCUGGGGUCAGGGGGAGGAGGAGCAUGGCCUCUCACCUCUUCCCUGAAAUAACCCUUUGCAAACAGAAUUAUUACAUGACCCCCCUCCCCCGUUGACAAAUGGAGAAACCGAGGCACAGGAAGUUUAGGUAACUGGUGCAAGGUAGCAGAGCCUGGAUUUGAACUGGAUUCAAAUCUGACUUCCUUCCAGAAGGGGCAGUGCUGUGCAUGGGAGCCCGGACCACUGGGCGCAUGGCCUGGUGGCCCCAGAAGACAGCAGCUGUGGGCAUGUGUUUUCUCUGGGCAUUAGCAUCCCUGGUAAGAGUGGAUCCUAAUUUACCUGCCUGUUCCUGACAGGUGUAUUGCUACCGAGUCUCCUUGAUAUUCUUUUAUACGUUGGAGGCAGUGCUGGGAGGAUGGGCCUCUGCAGAAACGGCCCUGCCUGGAACCUUGGCUUUGCCCUCCCUGGCCUCCGGUGAGGACCAGAAUUCCACUGGCAAGGAGAUGUCUGCUCUCCUUGGUCCAAGGAAGGUGUUCAGCCAUGGCGAGUGGAGAACAAAGAAGGCUCCUUUCCUAGCCACUUGGGUCCACAUGUACAUUUAGCCACACCAGCUCGUUGGGGCAGACUGGAAACCCCCAGAAAUUUCCUCACGGAGGCCAAUGGGUCUGACAGGCCUGCAUCCCUCCCCUGAAGGUCACAAAGGAUGUGUGAGCAGCUGACCAGGGGGCAAGGUAUGAAUUCACAUGAGCAAUAGGAAGAAUUUGUUUGCUGUUUGGAAAUGCUCUGGACCAGUGGGUCUCUUCUCCUGGGCUGGUCAUCAUUAGCUGCCGAUUCAACGUGGGGAGGGGGGGGUCUUAUACUGGCGCCUUGACUUGGUCUGAGGAGACAAGAGUUGAGGACGAUGGGGAAGGAGGUGGUAGUAAGAGUAGCAAGGCAGAGGCCCCGCACCUGCAAAAGCCUGUGGCUGGGAGGGACACAAAGGAGGGCCUGAGGCCCAGAAUCUGCAAGAAGCCUAGCAUUGGUCCCUCAGGCUCCCCUGUACCUGGAGUCUUGCUGAAUCUUCUGGCAAGGGCCGCUGCACGAGAUCUGGGGCACUGGGGGCACAAGAAAGCCACCAGCAGCUUCCGAAGGACGGAAGGUGGCACUGUCCGCCCAGGCACGGCUGCUGUGGGAGCUGCAGCCCUGGGGAACUUUGACGGCAACGGUGACAGGAGAGGCUUGAGCCAGAGCAGGGAAGGGCCGGGGGCUGGCACAGGGGGCAUGGAAAGAGCACACCAGAGACGCUGACUGCCAAACUAUCAGAAGAAUAGGCUCUGGGAUCCAACAGGGCAGGAGGGGCGCAGCUGAAGAGAUCCUGCUUUGUGACUGUUUUGCCCAUGAACUGGAGGGCCAGGGAAACAGGCUACGCCCAGCCUCGUCGCCCACGCGAGAGCCCGACUCCUACCAACUAGCAGGGCUGGCUUGUUUGCCUGCAGAACCAAAUGGUCCAGGCUCUGUCUCUCGGGUCCAGAGGAAAAAGGGGCUCAGCACUCUUCUGGCCUCAGCCCUGCACAUUGACCUAAGACUGCAAUCCCUAGGGGCCCUCCUUGUCCUCUCUGUCCCCCUCUGCCUCCUCAAUCCCCCUCCCCCCGACUGUCUAGUCAUCCCUCUGGGCGAGGUGGUGAUUCUCAAAUGUGGUGUGGUAGUCCAUAGGCCUAUUGGCUACAUUCUCUGGUUUUCUCCCUUCCAGGUGCCAGGUAGAUUUAUUCUUCCUGUCCUCCUGAUGGUGGGGUGGGAAUUGUAACCUGUUCUGACCAAUGAGUUCUGAAUGGAAAUAAUGGGUGUCAUUUCUAAGCCAUGGUAUCUAAUGUUGAUCUAAGAACUGUUUCCUUUCCCAUGACAACGAGCAGUGUUCCAGAGACUGGCUGCUCCCUUCUUCUGGGCCCAGGAGGAAAGAUCACAGCAGCAGUCUACACCCGACCCAUGAUGGACAUGUGGCAUGAGCAAGAAGUAAACCCUGUAGGGGCGCCUGGGUGGCUCAGUUGCUUAAGCGUCCGACUCUUGAUCUCAGCUCAGGUCUUGAUCUCAGGGUCACGACUUCAAGCCCCGUGUCUGCUUCCGUGCUGGGCAUGGAGCCUACUUAAAAAAAUAAAUAAAUAAAAGUAAACUGUUGCUGUAAACCCUUGAGGUUUGGGGAUCGUUGCUGGAGGAUCAACUCCGCUAUCCGGGCUGAUACAACAAAGCCCCUGGAAAUCGUGGUGCAGUCUGUACAGCACUGUGAAAAGUGCGUAUCUUUAAUUUCUUACAUAAACUAGAAUUGUAAUUAACAACACUGAAUAUCACUUAGUGAGCACUUACUACCGCUCACAUAUUAUGCUAGGUUCUAUGGCAAAUGUCUCACGAAUCCCCACCAUAGCCCUAGAAUUCGGAACUCUUGGCCUGUUCAGUAUGAUUAGUCUCGUAGAGAUCAAGGGACCCAGACUCUUGACUGAAGGUCAAGACCAUAGCUAUAAGUGGGAGAAUUGAGAUGAAAUGCAGGUCCUCUGACCCCAUAACCCUCAGUCUUUCCACCGUAUAUAUGUGGAAAGUAUAUGAAGUAUAUAUAUAAAGCAGACUAGUCCUAUCAAGAAAAAAAACCCAUGCAUUUUUAAAAGAAACGAUCUCUUAACGGGAAAAACAUGAACAUCUGCCUUUUUACUAAAUUGGACAUGAAAGAUGAUCUUGACAUCUGAACAAAGCCGCUGGCUCUCCGGUGUGAUGUUUGACAAGGGGGUCUCCAUUUGUUUUCUCCUCUGAUUGGGCUCCCUACCAGAUAAGCGGCGGCAGGCACUGAGGGUUGAAGACAAAUUUUAAGAGGACAAUUUUGUCCGUCAUUUAAAACGUUUCCAUACAAGUUAGGAAAUAGCUGGCGUUGGCAUAUGGAAGUGACCUGGGCAUGCGAGGUGGGGUCUGAGACUCUAGACAUGAGCUCCUCAAAGGCAGGAACAGGCUGCAUUCUUUUUUUAAAAAUUAAACGUUUGAUUUUAUUUUACUUUUGAAAGAUUUUAUUUAUUUAUUAGGCAGAGAGAGAGUGUGUAAUUUAUAGGCUCUGCCACCUCCUAGCUGUGUGACUUUGGGCAAGUUACUUCACCUCUCUGUGCCUUGUUUCCCUUGUAAAUUGGAGCUAAUGAGUAUGUUCCCCAUAGGUCGCUGUAAAGAUUGUACUUUUUUUUAAGAUUUUUUAAAAAAUUUAUUUAUUUGACAGAGAGAGAGAGAGAGCACAAGCAGGGGGAGCUGCAGGCAGAGGGAGAGGGAGAAGCAGGCUUCCCUCAGAGCAGGGAGCCUGAUGUGGGGCUCGAUCCCAGGACCCCAAGAUCAUGACCUGGGCUGAAGGCAGAUGCUUAACCGAUUGAGCAUUGAGCAACCCAGGUGUCCCUAAACCUUUUAUUUUAGAGGUGUACAAAAUAAUACAGAGAUAGCUCAUGGACUUUUUUUUUUUUGAGAGGGGAGUGGCAGAGGGAGAGGGAGAGAAUCUUUUUUUUUUUUUUUUUUUUAAGAUUUUAUUUAUUUGACAGAGAGAGAGACAGCGAGAGAGGGAACACAAGCAGGGGGAGUGGGAGAGGAAGAAGCAGGCUUCCCGCAGAGCAGGGAGCCCGAUGUGGGGCUUGAUCCCAGGACCCCGAGAUCAUGACCUGAGCUGAAGGCAGAUGCUUAACAACUGAGCCACCCAGGCGCCCCGAGAGAGAGAAUCUUGAGCCGGCUCUAUGCCUGGUGUGGAGCCUGGUCUCAUGACCCUGAGAUCGUGACCUGAGCCAAAAUUAAGAGUCCGAUGCUUAACCGACUGAGCCACCCAAGUGCCCCAAGUUGGCAAAUAAAUAAAACAUUUAUUUAUUUUUAAAGAUUUAUAUUUGAGAGUGAGCCAGCAGGGGGGAGGGGCAGAGAACGUCUUAAAUAGGCUCUGUGCUGAGUGUGGAACCCAACACAGGGCUUGAUCUCAACGACCCUGAGAUCACAACCUGAGCCAAAACCAAGAGUCAGCCUCUUAACCGACUGCACCACCCAGGUGCCCCAAAUAAACAUUUAAAUGCUAUAAAUGCAAGCACACUCACAGAUUUAGCAGACAACCAGCCAGGUUUCUACUUUGAAGUUAUAGUCUGCUAGCUGUAUUUUCUUUUUUUUUUUUUUAAAGAUUUUAUUUAUUUAUUUGACAGAGACAGACACAGCGAGAGAGGGAACACAAGCAGGGGGAGUGGGAGAGGGAGAAGCAGGCUCCCUGCUGAGCAGGGAGCAAGGCGCGGGACUCGAUCCCAGGACCCUGGGAUCAUGACCUGAGCCAAAGGCAGACGCUUUAACGACUGAGCCACCCAGACGCCCCUACCUGUAUUUUCUUGUAGCAAAGGAGGCUUCUUUUCCUCCUCUUCAGUAUCCCAACCAGGAUAUUGAUAUUGCCAUAGUCAAGAUACAGAACACUUCUAAUCCCACAAGGAUCCCUCCUAUUGCCCUUUUAUAGUCACACCCACUUCCCCUCCCUCCUCUGCCCCUCCUCUAGCCUUGACAUUGCUAAUCUAUUCUUCAUUUCUAGAAUUUUGCCCUUGCAAGACUGUUAUAUAAAUGGAACCACACAGUAUGAAACUUUUGGAGAUUGCCUUUUUAUAUUCAGCACGAUUCUCCGGGACGUCGUUCAGUUUGCUGCUCGUAUCAGUCGUCUGCUCCUUUUGAUUGCUGAGCAGUAUUCGGGUUGUGGAUUGCCAGUUCGUUUACCAUUUACCUGUUGAAGGGCUCUUUCAUUUUUUAAGCACUGGCACCUCAUGGACAGAUAUAUGCACACAAAGGGGAUUCUGAAGAGUAGGAUUAGUUGUGAUUAAGAGCGUGGGCUCUGGGGGCGCCUGGGUGGCUCAGUUGGUUAAGUGACUGCCUUCGGCUCAGGUCAUGAUCCUGGAGUCCCGGGAUCGAGUCCCGCAUCGGGCUCCCUGCUCGGCGGGGAGUCUGCUUCUCCCUCUGACCCUCCUCCUUCUCAUGCUCUCUCUCAUUCUCUCUCUCUCAAAUAAAUAAAUAAAAUCUUAAAAAAAAAAAGAAAUUAAAAAAAAAAAAGAGCGUGGGCUCUGGACUUUGACUCCUAGAUCCAGAACUUACUGUCCAUGUGAGUUUUAGCAAAUUACUUAACUUCUGUCUGCCUCAGUUUUUCAUCUGUAAAGUGGGAAUAAUGCCCAUCUUAUACAGUUAUUAUGAAAAGUGAAUGAAUCAAUCCUUGUUAGGUGUUUAGCCCAAAGCCCAGCUGAUGGUAAGAACGCAGUUAAAGAUUAAUAAGAGAUACCUGGGUGGCGUAGUUGGUUAAGCAUCUGCCUUCAGCUUAGUUCAUGAUCGUGGGGUCCUGGGAUUGAGCCCUGUAUCAGGCUUCCUGCUCAAUGGGGAGUCUGUCUCUCCCUCUGCCCCCACCAUCCCCCCCACUCAUGCCCUCUCUCUCUCAAAUAAAAAAUCCUUUAAAAAUUAAUAGUAAUAUAAUCGUCACUUAAUAUUCAGUGAACUGAAAUGAAAAAUCUGGAAUAAGAAAACUCAAAUUUGCAAAAUGUUCAGGGCGUCUGGGUGGCUCAGAUGGCUAAGCGUCUGCCUUCGGCUCAGGUCAUGAUCUCAGGGUCCUGGGAUCGAGUCCCGCAUCGGGCUCCCUGCUCCUUGGGAGCCUGCUUCUCCCUCUGCCUCUCUCUCACUCUCUCUCUGUCUCUCAUGAAUAAAUAAAUAAAAUUUAAAAAAAACUUGCAAAAUGUUCAAGUUAGGGGGUGGUGGCACACUAUAGAGGAAUUAUUCUUUUUUCCUAGAGCCUUUACACAGUUUUCCUCUGAGUCAGAAGCUUGCCCGUACUCGUUGGAAACAACCAAGUAGAGCCCAUUGGUGAUGCUGUGUCCUUCCUGUGGCCUGUGCAGCCCACAGCCUCUCCCUAGCACAAAGGGGACUUGAUUUACUCAAACAAUAUAUAUUGAGUUUUUACUGCAUGCAUGCCAGGCACUGAUCUAGGCGCCAGGGAGGCUGCAGUGAACAAAACAGACACGGCUCGUGCUCGGCAGCAGGGAAUAACACGAGAGGAAGCCCUUCCCCACCUCGCCUCUGAUUAGGAGGCAUGGGCCUGACUCCCACAGAAAAGGAAAGGGAAGCCCCGCAGUAGGUAGCCCUGGGGAGGCUCAUCUUGGUUCUCAUCUUCUUGGCUUGACCUGGUGUGGGUCCGCUUGCAGGGAGGAGGUGCACUCGACAAACCAUCUGGUCUUCUCCCCGCCCCCACCCCAUACACUCCCGGCUUGUCAGUGUGAUUGGGAGACACGCACACUGAACUGCAGUCACAAAAGGUGACCAGGCCCUGGGCUCCCAGUGGCUCCUUCUGGUAGUGAUGACUUGCAGGAGCCAGCUUUGUUCUCAUCUUCCCCCAGGGCCCGCCUGUGCCUGAGCCCAGUGACUGAUAGGGGAGCUGCGGUCUGGCCACAGAGCCUCGGUUUUCUCCAAGAGCCGCUAACUGGCCCAUGACCUUGGCCUCAUUAGCAGGCGCUCUCCACCUGAGCUGCCUGGAUCGGGGCCAGCCAGGGAAACUAGCUCAGGCCCUCAGGCCCCUGGGAGAGGUGUCAGGCAAAAAUAGACCAGUGAGAGCCAGAGAAUCCUUGAGCAGGAGGGCCCGUGGAGGUCACUGGCUCCAGGGUCAUCCUAGCUCUGCAGAUGGAGGCUGAGGCCAGGGAGGGGAAGGGGCCUGGCCUCGAUCGUGCCACAAUUCAGGCAGAGCUGAGAGGAGGAUGGGCAUCACCUGACUCCCAAAGUCAUGUUCUUCCCUCACCUGCGCCUCCCAUCAGGCUGUGGUCAGGGAGGGCUGAAAACAGCCAACAGAUGAUAAGAAUUACAGAUUAUGUGCUAUAUUGUACACCUGAAAAUAAUAUAACGCUGUAUAUUAACCAGAGUUAAAAAAAAAUACAGAUUAUGGAACAGUUCAUCAUAGGCAUUGCUGUUUCUUUUUAAAACACACACACACACACACACGCACACACACAAGAAUUAAAAAAUGGCCUGAGGGGCACUUGGGUGGCGCAGUCAGUUAAGCAUCUGACUCUUGAUUUUGGCUCAGGUCGUGAUCUCCGGGUUGUGAGACUGAGGCCCCUGUCGGGCUCCGCACUGGGCAUGGAGCCUGCCGAAGAUUCUCUCUCUCCCUCUGCCCUGGCCCCCAACUCACGCACAGGCUUGUGCACACUCUCUUAAAAAAAAAAGUUUAAAAAUGGCCUGAAACAGAAAAUUGGUGUGAAUUUUUUCAAACAGAUAAGGAAGAAUACGUUAAGAGACAGUGUCACCUAGCAAGGGGGACUCUGGAACCUCACCGUCCAAAUUUGAAUCCCAGCUCCACUCCUUCUUUGCUGUGUGUCUUUCAGUGAGUUACUUAAUCUCUCUGUGCCUUGCUUCAUUCGCUUGUAAGGUGGGGAUGGCAGUGGAGCUUGCUGGGGCGGGGGGGCGAUGAUGUGGAGCCCAUGCAUGAAAAGUGACCCUAGGCCCCUGCAGAACUGUUCCAAAUCCGUGUUGGUAGGGAAAGCCAGUUGCACAGAAAGAGGAAAAAGAAAAGCCAAAGCCGGCCUGUUCCACCGGGCCCUCUCCCCAGAGGACUGUGUGUUAUAGGAGAUGACCCGUGCAUAUACCAGCACAUAUAUGUGUGUGCAACUGUGUGUGUUGAGAAAUAUGCUUUCAAGUACGGCAUCGAAGCAUCCUGCUUUACACAGGUUCUGAUCUUGCCUUAUCUGAUCAGCAUAUAUCUGGACAAUGUUUCUGAUCAGUUGGUUCAGAUGUGUCCUCUUCCUUACAAUGACUAUGUGGUGUUCCAUGCAAUGGAUGGGCCAUUGUGUAUUUAACCAGACCCCAAGAUAGAUGGUCACGACACACAGGGGAGACUCGGGCUAGCAGAAAUGGAUGGAGUCAUAGGAAAUAAGGCGGCAAAAACAGGUUGUGGGAAAAUCGUCAUGGGCUUGAUUAUCAGCACUGUAGCUCCAUGCAAAUGAUAAAUUUUAUUCGUGUAUUGAGUACCAACUGUUUGCCUCAUUAUCCCCAGGCCUCACAAUAACCUGCUUGGGUAGAUCCCCAUUAGAGUCCCCUUUGCAGGGUAGCCCAGAGGUGCUGUUGGCUUCCCAAGGUCAUCGCACUAGGAGGGCAGCGCUAAGGCUAACACAGGGCAGUGUGGUCUCCUGCCACGUGCAGCGGGAGGUCUGGGCUUCCUUCUGCCGGCGGUGACGGGCCCCCUCCCACUGGUGUGUCUCUGGCCUCCUCUUCCCAUCACACACCCCUCUGUGUUUACGGCUACCCUGCAGCCUAGGUGAGCUCAGGCCCAGGGCAAGGUGAGGGCUUUGUUGAAGCCGAGGGCCCCCUAAGUCCAGGCAGAGCUCAGCUGGAGCAGGAGAAGGCGAGAGAGGGCUGGAGUUUCUGCUCAGACCCGUAUUGUUCAGCCUGACUCCUGGCUCCCUCCAGAGAGCAGCUUAAUUCCUCAAUUCCUUGACUGUCUGUAGGGCCACUACAGGAUCACCCUGGUUACUGAAACUACACUCCCUCUUGAGUGGGUCUUCCGUUCUUCACUAAGGCCCCCCUCCCUCCCUGUAGCCUCACCUAAAGACUCCCUCUGGCUUAGUAAGACCUACUGUUUUUGUGUAUGGUGGGAAGGUGCCGACAUUGGCCUUUGCACCGGGACCACUUCUUAAGAGUUCUCCCUCUCCUCGUUGCUGGAGCCCUGUGCUGGAGCCUGCCCUGGGUUGGUAUCUCCAGCCUGAGUCUAUUUUCCAGUAGGUCGGCAAAUAACAGUGAGUAGCCAAAGGGGGAAAAAAAAAGAGAACAAAAGGGGCACCUGGGUGACUCAGUCGGUUGGGCAUCUGACUCUUGAUUUCAGGUCAGGUCGUGAUCUCAGGGUCAUGAGACCAAACCCCAUGUUGGACUCUGUGCUCAGCAGAGUCUGAUUCUCUCCUUCUCUCCCUCCCUCUGCCCCUCCCCCAACUUGUGCAUGUGCGCAUGCACUCUCUCUCUCAAAUUAAUAAAUAAAAUCUUUUUUUAAAAGUGAGAACAGGGCGCCUGGGUGGCUCAGUUGGUUAAGCGACUGCCUUCGGCUCAGGUCAUGAUCCUGGAGUCCCGGGAUCGAGUCCCGCAUCGGGCUCCCUGCUUGGCAGGGAGUCUGCUUCUCCCUCUGACCCUCCUCCCUCUCAUGCUCUCUGUCUCUCAUUCUCUCUCUCAAAUAAAUAAAUAAAAUCUUUAAAACAACAACAACAACAACAACAAAACAAAAAUAAAAGUGAGAACAGAUCCCUACCUCACACCUUAACAAAAUCAACUCCAGAUGUAAAUAUGAAAGGCAAAACUUUAAGACUUUUAGAAAAAAAAUAGGAUACUAUCUCUAUGACCUAGCAGCAGGGAAGGAUUUCUUUCUUUCCUUCUUUUUAAAAAAGAUUUAUUUAUUUAUUUGAGAGAGAGAGAAUGAGCGUGAGGAUGGGCAGAGGGAGAGGAAGAGAGAGAAUCUCAAGCAGACUCCCCACUGAGUACAGAGCCUGAUGCAGGGUUCUAUCUCACAACCCUGAGAUCAUGACCUGAGCUGAAAUCAAGAGUUGGAUGCUAACCAACUGAGCCAACCCAGGCACCCCAGGGAAGGAUUUCUUAAAACAUAAAAGGCACAAACGAUUCAAGAAAGAAGAUUCAUAAGUCUCACUGCAUUAAAAAAUCAUCAAAAGAUACCACGACAGGAGUGAAAUAAACAAAACCAAACUCCCCACAAACUAGGUGAAGAUAUUUUCAACACAUAAAUUACAUAGGAUUAUUAUCUAGAAUGUGGAAGGGAUUCCCCAAUCCUUAAGGAAAAAACAAACAACCUAAUAGAAAGAUGAACACAAGGCAUGAACAGGCAUUCAGAGACGAUGGCCAACGAACAUCAUUAGAAAGUGGGAAAUGCUCAUUAAAAAUGUAACAUGACCCUGUUCUGCCUGCCCCCCUGGCUGCACUUAGGGAGCUAGAGAUGGGUUCACUGAAGAUGGGUUCAGCACUGGGCUGGCUGGCCUCCUAGCUGGCCCCCACCCCACAGCCUUCCUGGCAUGUCCCGCCCACCCUGAGCAGCUCCUAACCACUCAGGCUAUUAUUCCACUCCUGCUUUUUGCUGCCCGGACGUAGACUUUCUGGCUUCCUAAGUCAUUUCUUGUUUUUCCCCCAAAUUUUCAUUUGGAAAACCUGUUCAAGCUCGCAGAAAAGUUGAAAGAAUGGUACCACAAAUCCUUGUGCGUCAUUGCCCGAGAAUCCUCAUUGGUUAAUGUUUCGUUGCUCCUUAUUAUUAACUGUAUUACCACCAUUAAUGUUUUUGCUGACCCAUGUGGGGGUAAAUCACAGGCAUUUUGACCCUUUGACUCUAAAUGCUUCCUCCUUCCCACCUUUGCUCUCAGGAAGCAGAAGGCCAGGAGGGACAACAGAACGCAGAUCAAAGUCUUUACAAUGCUUUUGUCUUCCCAUUACGCUGAAACCUAGGUGUUCACUGAGGCCUCUCUUCUUAAAGUAGCUUUAUCCUUACGAUCGAGCACAAAAUGCCUGCACAUUCAUUGAGCAUCUGUAGAAGAUGCAGGGAAAUGAUAAGUGAUGGCCUCUGGGAAGGGAAACUGAGGGGCUAGGGAACAGGCUGGGAGAGAGAUUUGUUUUUCAGUUUGUACGCUUUUGACUUUUGUAACUUGGACUUUUGAUUAUUUGGUCAAAAAAAAAAAAACAAAAACCCACAUUUUGUAAUUGACCUAAGUAAAGUUACUCCGAACUGGGAGGCAAAGACAGGACUCAAACCCAGAUCUGCAACCACGAGCCUGAACUUGUUCCCGGCAUCACAAGGUAUUACAUAAAUCCACCGUUUUAACCUAAAUCGAUCCACUUGGGCACUGCUGGGACAUAAAAGAGGUGGUAGAAAUCCAAGGGAAGGUACAGACGUCUGCACCUGCCACACAGAAGUGACAUUCUCGGAGGCCUGCUGGGAUCUGAGCUGCUUUCAAAGGCAGCAAAAUUCUAAGGUUGGAGCAUGGUGGCACUCCUCUGGAGACUUCCUGAGCUAGGAGGAUGGACACAGUCUCUGAGGCAGAAUGACCUACGUCCCCAUAAACUACAGCUGUGACCUUGGAGAGGUCACCCAGCCCCCUGAGCUUCGAUUCCUUCAUCAGGAAGAUGGGGAAGAUAAUAUUCCCGAUUGUAUGGCUCAGCAUUGUUGUUAGUCUAGCAAACUCCCGAAAGGUGAGCUGUCAGAUCACAGCCCACUUGCUGAGGGCGGGCGGCAGGUGGCUGGCUCCCUCUGUCCACAGCAGAACACAAUGAUGAGAUCAGCUCUCGGUGGGGACUCUCCAGCAUGACGCAGCGUGUGACCUCAGGUAGUCCUGUCUCUCUUCCUGUCUUAUACAGUGGGUGGGCCGAGCAGGGUGCUUUCCCAACCCUGGUGUUCCAGGAUUCUGGGCACUUCUGGUCUGAGCCUUCCCACGUGAGCCCCACCUUUGUACUCUAACAUGGAGAGGAGAGGCAGUGGCUGCACGAGAGGACCCUGGGGAUGGCCCCAGAGUUGGGCAAGGGCAUCUGGCAAGCCAUCUCUGUCCCUCCUCGUCCCCUCCCUGCUUCCCACUGGAGACCAUGCAAUCCGGGUCUGCCUCCUCCGCAUCUGUCUCAGGAAUAUCAGUCACUGGAGAUUCUUAACGCUGAACUUGACUCUAAAAACACACCCCCAGGCAGAAAAAUUCCAAGGCAAAGCAAUUUCCCAUCCCGGCAGGAAGCUACCUGUCUGAGCAGAGGUGGGAGUGCAGUUUGGACCCAGAGACAGGUCCACAGUCUCUCCAACACACGUGGGCCCUGGCCCCGCUCCCCUUCUCUCUGGGCCUGUCCUGCUUCUCCUCCUGGCCACGGGGGAGUGGGGCACUUCCGUUGGCUUAAUCCCCCCUCCGUCCUGCUAGGGACCUCAGCCCUCCUCUCUGCACUGACCCCCUUUCUCGGCGCCCGGUCCACCCUCUCCUCCCAAGCUCACACUUUCUGCUCUGAGUGGUGAAGAGCUGCCCUGUCCCCAUGGUGUUACUUCUCCUCUCAACCGCCCUGCAAAGUGAGUGGUUCUGUGACCCCAUUUCACAGCAGGGAGAACCGAGGCCUAAAGAAGUCGGGGCAGGGUCACAGAGCUAGGAAACUGGGGAGCCAUGAUUCCAGCACUGGCCAACAGCUGAAGUCUUUGUCCUAUAGUACAGUCCUAGCUCCUUGUCCCGCACAGACCCUUGGGAGCCUCUGUGUCAUGCGUGUGUCCAGAUUAGAGGCACGACAUCCACGUGUGGCUCCCUUGUCAGUGGCCAGAUCCUCAAGAACGGGGACCAGGCAUUAUUCACCUUUGCCUCCCCAGGGCCAGGCAAGGACCAGGGGACACUUGGGAAAAAGCUAGCUGAAGGGACCUUCCAGCGUGAUCAGAAGGGACGUCCCAGAGGCCAUCCUUCACGGGGUCCUUGCCCCACAGCCAAGCGGGGAACAGAAGCCCAAGGUGUGCUCUGGGUGCCGGCUUUCUAGCUCCAGUGGGCUGCAGGUCACUAUUUAUUUCCAGCAACAUCUCUGUGAAAACGCAAGCGUCCUGCAGUGUUUAGAGCUGCGGUGGGCCCUUGCAUUGGCCUCUACUAUCUUGCCUCCCUCCUCCCCUCCCGCCUUCCCUAACAACCAGGUAAUUGGGAAAAAAAAAAAUGUAAAGCAUCUUAAAAAUUUCUGAUGAAAAUAGGUGGAAGUCCCUCCUGUGUCAUGGAAAAUAAAAGCUCUCCUGAUUUCCUGCUCCCUUCCCUCUCUCCCCCUCCCCCCACCCCGCCUGGUUUCUGUUCCAAGCGUGGAUUGUUCGGAGAGGGGUGGGCCGCUGCAUGGGCAGCGAUGAUUGGGCAUGAAUGGGUGGAGGAGGAAAUCCUUCUCUUGUGGAACCCUCGCCAAAAAUAUUAUUGGCCUUUGUCCAGAGGACAAACCGGAGAUAUAUUAAUAGAAACAACAUGUUUUAUAACUGCAGAGAAUCGGUUAACAAAUAUUGCUUAAGCACUGACCGGCAUUUUGCACCAUCACUCAGGACCUCAUGCUCCAGUUAUUUGUGCCUGGAGUCAGGUGGUUCUAGUGUUUAAGUGCGUGCUUUGCCAUUACUUGGCUGUGUGACUUGAGCAAGUCACUUAACCUCUCUGAGCAUCAGACUCAUCAUCCGUAAAAGGUCAAAAGUGAUGGUUUGCUUGAAUCCACUCUCCGAAUAUUGCUCUCAGGAUCAAGGAGAAUGCGAAAUGCACGCGCAGGUGUCCUUUGCAAGCUCUACAACUACGUACGUGUCUCAUGUGACAUAUUACAACUCUGCGCAUGCCACACCUUCCAAACUCAUUUUCACUUGCUGUCUCCCAUUAACUCCAAUCUUAAUUCAACAAUUCUGCUCUGUUGUUCUCCCCUGUCCCGAGUAUAUCCCACUCAUUUUUAGAUCUUUGGGCAUUUACUGGCUGGAAGGGGUCCAAUACAGCCAUAUGCCUCAGAAAUUCAUUACGGUCAAGAGCAAGACUGCCAGGCUAGAAACCUAGCUCCCACUAUCAGCUGCUGUGAGUCCUCGAGCAAGCUACUUCCCCUCUCUCUGCCUUGGUUUCCCCACCUGAAAAAGUGGGAUGAAUAGUAGGUCUUAUCCCAUAGGACAGGCUGUGAGGAAGGAAUUCAUUAAUCCACAUGAAGGGUUUAGAACACUGCCUGGCAUGUGAUGGGGUCUUGAUAAACCCUCCACCUCCUUGGCUCUUGGCUUUGAUUAUAUUGAUCAGGAGAAUGAGUACAGAACACCCAGGAAAGCGCAGAGGCCUGGGGAAAAGGCCGAGGGGUUGGGGAAGGAAGACAUGGAGCUGGAAAGGCAGAGCAAGGGGAGAAAAUCCAGCAGACUAAGUUUUGAGCAGGUGUUUAGAGCAGCUCAGAUGGGGAAGGAGAGGCUGGGAGCAGUGGAUACCCUACUAUGUGAAAUGAGAAAUCAGGCUCUGUUAAAGAUCAGUGAGGAUUGAUUGAUUAUGUACAAGAUCUAGUCCUUGUUCCUGAAAGUUUGUAAUCUAGGCAGGAAGGCAGAGCAAACACGUGAACGGCUGUGAGGUUGCCAUGCGAGAGCAAAAUGGUUUGCUGUGGCCCCAUAUGCCAUCUCUCAGGGCAGUGCACGCUUAAAUGUCAAAGCAGGGAAGAAGGGAGAAGUCAGAGGUGGGCACGGCUUUUGCGGGCUCCAGCCACAGCACAGCACGUGGAGGUCUGCGUUGAGCAGAGCCCCCGAGAACGGUCAGAACUCGACUCCCUGCUUUCUGUACUGCGAACCUUGCUCUUGGAUUCAUUUUCAUGUUGAUUGAAAGUGACUCUGGGUCUGGGCUCUGGCAUGUUUAUAAACGUCUUUAUUUUCCCCUCUCACAUAAAUGAUUUUUAGCUAGGUGUAGGAUUCUAAGUUCCAGAUACUUUCCCACGGAACUUAGUAGGGAUUGUCCUGUGGUCUUUCAGCCCUCUGUAUGACUGAUGUGAUUUCUGACCCUAUUGAAACUUUUCUUUUCUUCUCUUUUCUCCCUUCCCUUCCCUUCCCUUCCCGUCCCUUCCCUUCCCUUCUCUCCUCUCCUCUCCUCUUCUUUUCUUUAGAGAGAGAGAGAGAGAGUGCAGGGCUCAAUCUCACGACCCUGAGAUCAUGACCUGAGCCAAAACCACCAGUUGGACGCUUAAGCAACUGAGCCACCCAGGUGCCCCAAAACUUGUUUCUUUGUAGGUAAUCUGCUUUUUACCUCUAAAAGCUUUUAGAACUUUCCCUUGGUGUUUGCAGAUUUCAUCAUCAUAAGUUGUUCUUCAUUCAUGGACCAUUCAAUCUGAAGAUUUGUGGGUUUUUUCCAGCCUGAGGAGUUUUUCUCUUAUUAUUUCUUGGAUUAUUUCUUCCUUUGAAUUAUUUCUGCACUUUAAGACAGGUAUGGGAGUCUCUGGAUCUAUUAUCCACAUCACAACUUUUUUCAUAUUUUCCAUACCCUCCUAAUUCUUUAUCUUCUAUGCUCAUUAUGUUAUCCAGCCCAUCUCCCCACUUCCUUUUUCUUAACUGCCUGUUUCUCAGGCUUAGUUUGGGUUCUCCAGUGAGAAAAAUCCGAAAAAAAUUAUUUGAGUUCAAGUGGCUUAUUUGGGGGAAAUAAGCCUGAAACUACCUGUUGGGGAGUGGGGAAGUGAGAUGGGGAAGGGAAGGCAGCCAAUGAGGGGUGAGCCAUUGAGCCCUGGAAGGCCCUGUAGAACAUGCAUCUCUGAGCUAAUCCUCCCAAGGGGUGAGGGAGCUGGGGUAUUUAUACCGACUCCCAUUGGUCAUCGGUUAAGGGCUGCACCUAGUAGAGGGGUGUUAAUUCCUCAGCACUUCAAGCAUGUCAUACAAAGAGAACUCUGGAGGCUAAAAGAGGGGAAAGCCCUCAGGCAAAGAAAUGCAGGGGAAAGAUGAGGGGACAUGGGCAAGGCAUUGACUAUGUCUUGCUUCAUGGGUGCAUUAUUCAUUUCAUUUUCUUUGGAGGACAUUGAACAACUUCUACUAAAUUUCUUCUGUUUCCUUGCAUGCUGCUCCCUCUUCUGCAGAGCGUGGUGCUUCUCUUUAAUGAUUUUGCUUUUACUGAUUUCAGGGAAGUUUGUUGCAUGACUGGGGCCAAUGGUGAAGAGAAAAAGUGUGGGAGUAUGUUCUAGAAGCUGUGUUUUGGGAGUAGGGGCCUCAGAUUGCUCUAGGUUCUACCAACUGCCUGGGGCUCUGUCCCGUCUCUUGCUUUUCCCACCCAAGUUCUGGACACAUUGCUGUGGCCUGGGGCCAAGUACCUUUGCUGCCUGCUGAUGGGCAAAGGACAGGGUCAACCGCCUGCCAUUCUAGAUGUCAAUUCUCAAACAACCACCCUGAUGAUGACCUGAAGAGCUCAUCCUGCUCCUCAAAUCCAUUGUCCAUGACUCGGAACUCCACUUCUCACAGACUUCCUCUUUGGCACAUGUUUUGGACUGUGGUUCCCCUAACAAAUCAAUUCUCUAUGCUCUCUGUCCUUCUGAGACUCCUCAACAUCAGUGGGUGGUCGGCUUUUGGCUCUCAGUUUUCGAGUCCUGUUAUGAGUCUACUGUUCUUAAAUAUUUCUUUUCUGCCAUCUCUAGGGAUUGAGGAUGAAGUAGCAGUAAAAACCUGUGCACGGUCUACCAUAUUGAUCCAAACCCCAAGAAAGAUAAUUUUUCAAACCAUUAUUGAGUAUUAUAAAAUCAACUCUACCACCACCAUUUCCCGCUCUUGGCAUCUUAUCAGGAGCCCACAGGAAGGAUUUGGAUGUCAGAGCAAUGUUUCCUUUUAUUUUUUAUUUUUUUUAAAAGAUUUUAUUUAUUUAUUUGAGAGAGAGAGAAUGAGAGACAGAGAGCAUGAGAGGGAGGAGGGUCAGAG